rnacentral:rRNA from 1 species
CACGUAGGGGCCAAGCGUUGUCCGGAAUUAUUGGGCGUAAAGAGCUCGUAGGCGGUUUGUUGCGUCGGCUGUGAAAUCCCGAGGCUCAACCUCGGGUCUGCAGUCGAUACGAGCAAACUAGAGUGUUGCAGGGGAGACUGGAAUUCCUGGUGUAGCGGUGAAAUGCGCAGAUAUCAGGAGGAACACCGGUGGCGAAGGCGGGUCUCUGGGCAACAACUGACGCUGAGGAGCGAAAGCGUGGGGAGCGAACAGG